UACGAAGGGGGCUAGCGUUGUUCGGAAUUACUGGGCGUAAAGGGCUCGUAGGCGGCCAACUAAGUCGGAUGUGAGAUCCCCAGGCUUAACCUGGGAACUGCAUCCGAUACUGGAUGGCUUGAAUCCGGGAGAGGGAUGCAGAAUUCCAGGUGUAGCGGUGAAAUGCGUAGAUAUCUGGAGGAAUACCGGUGGCGAAGGCGGCAUCCUGGACCGGCAUUGACGCUGAUGAGCGAAAGCUAGGGGAGCAAACGGG
rnacentral:rRNA from 1 species